rnacentral:lncRNA from 1 species
UCCCAGGUCCAGGAACAGGAGAAUUUGGACUUGACCAAAAGGGUCUCCGAGGACAGCACAUGAGCCCAGUGCUUUCUCAGGGCAGUGCUUCAAGGGUCAGAAGUCUUGGAAUGGAGGGGCUUCCAAACUACAUAAGCAUUCGAUGGCAAACGUAAGUGGGUUCCCCCCCAAGAAUCGCGAGGUUGGACGAUCAUCCUCGGGCGCAUAGGAAGCAGCUCACCGUCCGCGCACACGCCAGCCAGUCCAGUCUCAGACCCCCUCAGCAAACAGCACUCCUCACUCCGGGCGCCACUGUCCGGACCAGACGUUGCUGUCCGAGCCGGAGAGGACAGAGAGUUUGCAGAAUUCGAACGCGGGAGCCAGGACCCACACCCAAUUCACACCCGCAACCCUGAGAGGUUACAGAGGCAAGGUGGUAGGACACCCGCGCGUGCAAAGCGCGUGAACGCGCGACUGCGCGUGUAAAGGGUGGUGCAACCAGAAAGGGAACCAGAGCCGCGGACUCCCCCCAGUCACCUGUCCGCCGAAGCCGGUGCGCACAGCCUUCAAGCCCUGUCGCGUCCGGUCCGGUCCGCGAGAGCCCUGGCCGCCUCUCGGGGACCCUGGGCCCCGCCGCCGGGUGCGAACCUCCUUCGCCCUUCUCUCUCCUUCUUACCCGGGCUCCGGUAGAACCGACGCGGCCAGACGGGACGGCAGCAAGACCCAGCCUCCGGCAGCCGCCAGAAGCUCCAUGAAAGCGCAGCACGCGGCCAAGCCCAAUCCUCCGGCUUCCAGCGCGGGGAGCGCGGGCGGCCCCACUCCGCUUGCCCCAGCCCAGCCCGACCCCUCGAGCGCCCCUCCGUGGGCUACGGCGCCCGCAGCGCGGCCAGCCACCCGAACUGAGCUGCGUUCCCGCCAGUGGCCGCCCGCGGACAGGUGUCUACUCUCCGCUCGGACCCGGGCCCCGCUGCACAGACCUCUUUCGCAGCUACGCCCCUGUCCCCGAGCGGUCCCAGGGACUCUCGGAACAGACUUGGGUCACGCAAUGUAAAUUCAACUUUACCUCCUGCCCGG